GACAGAGGGGGCAAGCGUUGCUCGGAAUUACUGGGCGUAAAGGGCGCGUAGGCGGCCAACUAAGUCGGAUGUGAAAUCCCCAGGCUUAACCUGGGAACUGCAUCCGAUACUGGAUGGCUUGAAUUCGGGAGAGGGAUGCAGAAUUCCAGGUGUAGCGGUGAAAUGCGCAGAUAUCAGGAGGAACACCGGUGGCGAAGGCGGGUCUCUGGGCAAUAACUGACGC
rnacentral:rRNA from 1 species